GCCAGGUGUGGUGGUGCACGCCUGUAAUCCAAGCAGCUUGGGAGGCUGAGGCAGGUGGAUUACGAGUUCAAAGCCAGCCUUGGCAAAAGCAAGGUGCUAAGCAUCUCAGUGAGACCCUGUCUCUA
rnacentral:sRNA from 1 species